rnacentral:rRNA from 1 species
GCUGGCGGCAUGCCUAAUACAUGCAAGUCGAUCGGAUGUAGCAAUACAUUAGAGGCGAACGGGUGAGUAACACGUAUCCAAUCUGCCUUAUAGUGGGGGAUAACUAGUCGAAAGAUUAGCUAAUACCGCAUAACAAGUUAACUAUCGCAUGAGAAUAACUUUAAAGAAGCAACUGCUUCGCUAUAAGAUGAGGGUGCGGCAUAUCAGCUAGUUGGUGAGGAUAAUGGCCCACCAAGGCGAUGACGUGUAGUUAUGCUGAGAGGUAGAAUAACCACAAUGGGACUAAGACACGGCCCAUACUCCUACGGGAGGCAGCAGUAGGGAAUUUUUCACAAUGGACGAAAGUCUGAUGGAGCAAUGCCGCGUGAACGAUGAAGGUCUUUUUAGAUUGUAAAGUUCUUUUAUUUGGGAAGAACAGUUAAUAGAGUGGAAAGCUAUUAAUUUGACUGUACCAUUUGAAUAAGUAACGACUAACUAUGUGCCAGCAGUCGCGGUAAUACAUAGGUUGCAAGCGUUAUCCGGAUUUAUUGGGCGUAAAACAAGCGCAGGCGGAUUAGAAAGUCUGGUGUUAAAAGCAAUUGCUUAACGAUUGUAUGCAUUGGAAACUUCUAGUCUAGAGUUUGGUAGAGAGUCCUGGAACUCCAUGUGGAGCGGUGAAAUGCGUAGAUAUAUGGAAGAACACCAGAGGCGAAGGCGAGGACUUGGGCCAAUACUGACGCUUAGGCUUGAAAGUGUGGGGAGCAAAUAGGAUUAGAUACCCUAGUAGUCCACACUGUAAACGAUGGAUGUUAAGUGUCGGAGCGAAUACUUCGGUGCUGCAGUUAACACAUUAAACAUCCUGCCUGAGUAGUACAUUCGCAAGAAUGAAACUCAAACGGAAUUGACGGGGACCCGCACAAGUGGUGGAGCAUGUUGCUUAAUUCGACGGUACACGAAAAACCUUACCUAGACUUGACAUCUUGGGCGAAGCUAUAGAAAUAUAGUGGAGGUCAACCCAAUGACAGGUGGUGCAUGGUUGUCGUCAGCUCGUGUCGUGAGAUGUUGGGUUAAGUCCCGCAACGAGCGCAACCCUUAUCGUUAGUUACUUUGUCUAACGAGACUGCCAACGUAAGUUGGAGGAAG